AUUGAACGCUGGCGGCAUGCUUUACACAUGCAAGUCGAACGGUAACAGGUUCAGCUGACGAGUGGCGAACGGGUGAGUAAUGCAUCGGAACGUGCCCGGUCGUGGGGGAUAACGCAGCGAAAGCUGCGCUAAUACCGCAUACGAUCUGAGGAUGAAAGCGGGGGACCGUAAGGCCUCGCGCGAUCGGAGCGGCCGAUGUCAGAUUAGGUAGUUGGUGGGGUAAAGGCUCACCAAGCCAACGAUCUGUAGCUGGUCUGAGAGGACGACCAGCCACACUGGGACUGAGACACGGCUCAGACUCCUACGGGAGGCAGCAGUGGGGAAUUUUGGACAAUGGGCGAAAGCCUGAUCCAGCAAUGCCGCGUGCAGGAAGAAGGCCUUCGGGUUGUAAACUGCUUUUGUACGGAGCGAAAAGGUCUCCUCUAAUACAGGGGGCUCAUGACGGUACCGUAAGAAUAAGCACCGGCUAACUACGUGCCAGCAGCCGCCGUAA
rnacentral:rRNA from 1 species